UACGUAGGGAGCAAGCGUUGUUCGGAUUUACUGGGCGUAAAGGGCGCGUAGGCGGCGCGGUAAGUCACUUGUGAAAUCUCUGAGCUUAACUCAGAACGGCCAAGUGAUACUGCAGUGCUAGAGUGCAGAAGGGGCAAUCGGAAUUCUUGGUGUAGCGGUGAAAUGCGUAGAUAUCAAGAGGAACACCAGCGGCGAAGGCGGCGCUCUGGGCUGGAACUGACGCUGAGGAGCGAAAGCGUGGGGAGCGAACAGG
rnacentral:rRNA from 1 species